GAUAUUGGUCAAUAGCCUAACGGCUGAACCAGCAAUGGAGGAAUAUAAAGCAAUAGCUGAUUGCAUUUAAAUGUAGUUACUACUUGGUAGUUUAAAGUUCUAGGUAGAAUUAUGAUGAUGACAUUAUCUAUCUAUUAGUCUUGACCAAAUUACGUGCCAGCAGUCGCGGCAAUACGUAGAAGACAAGUGUUAUUCAUCUUUAUUAGGUUUAAAGAGUACCAAGACGGUUAAUAAAGCCCAAAAUAAAUGAAUACGGGGGACACAUUAACUAGAGUUAUAUGAAAUGAAGCUAUAAGGUACUGUUGAGUGUAGAGAUGAAAUUUAAUGAUACCAGAUGAUUGGCACAGAUUAAUGCGAAGGCAUCUUCUUAUGUAAUAACUGACGUUGUAGGACGAAGGCUUUGGGUGUGAACAGGAUUAGGUACCCCAGUAAUCUUGGCAGAAAAUGAUGAAUGUCAUAGGUAUUAUUGGGUCUAUAAAUGAAAGUGUAAGCAUUCCACCUCAAGAGUAAUUUGGCAACAUUGGAACUGAAAUCAUUAGACCGUUUCUGAAACCAGUAGUGAAGUAUGUUGUUUAAUUAGAUGAUACACAAGAACCUUACCACAAUCUGAAUAUAUAUAAAUUAUAUUUACAAGCGCUGCACGGCUGUCUACAGUUAAUGUCGUGAGAUUUUGGUUAGCUCCAUAAAAUUGACGUAAACCCUAAUUUUAUUUAUAAAUAUAAUUAACAUCGCUAUAUAUGAUGUUUUAAGAGGGAACAUGACAAGUCAUCAUGG
rnacentral:rRNA from 1 species